rnacentral:tRNA from 1 species
GCAAUAAUAGCUUAAAUUGAAAGCCUUGGUCUUGUAAGCCAAAGAUGAACUUAUAUAUUCUUAUUGCU